rnacentral:rRNA from 1 species
UACGUAUGGUGCAAGCGUUGUCCGGAAUUAUUGGGCGUAAAGAGCUUGUAGGCGGUUUGUCGCGUCUGCUGUGAAAUUUCGGGGCUCAACCCCGAACUUGCAGUGGGUACGGGCAGACUAGAGUGUGGUAGGGGAGACUGGAAUUCCUGGUGUAGCGGUGAAAUGCGCAGAUAUCAGGAGGAACACCGAUGGCGAAGGCAGGUCUCUGGGCCAUAACUGACGCUGAGAAGCGAAAGCAUGGGGAGCGAACAGG